rnacentral:rRNA from 1 species
AGCGAACGUUAGCGGCGGGCCUAACACAUGCAAGUCGAACGCGAAAGGUCUUCGGACUGAGUAGAGUGGCGCACGGGUGAGUAACACGUAGGUAAUCUACCCUUUGGCGGGGAGUAACGUUCCGAAGGAAGCGCUAAUACCGCAUAAGACCACGGAGUCUCCGGACGCUGUGGGAAAAGGUAGGCCUCUUCUUGAAAGACUACCACCGAAGGAUGAGCCUGCGUCCCACUCAGCUAGUUGGUAAGGUAAUGGCUUACCAAGGCGAAGACGGGUAGCUGGUUUGUAGAGAAUGAUCAGCCACACUGGCACUGGAAC